rnacentral:rRNA from 1 species
GGUAUCAGAAGUGCGAAUGCUGACAUAAGUAACGAUAAAGCGGGUGAAAAGCCCGCUCGCCGGAAGACCAAGGGUUCCUGUCCAACGUUAAUCGGGGCAGGGUGAGUCGACCCCUAAGGCGAGGCCGAAAGGCGUAGUCGAUGGGAAACGGGUUAAUAUUCCCGUACUUGGUGUUACUGCGAAGGGGGGACGGAGAAGGCUAUGUUGGCCGGGCGACGGUUGUCCCGGUUUAAGCGUGUAGGUGUGUGUUCCAGGUAAAUCCGGUUCACUUUAACACUGAGGCGUGAUGACGAGGCACUACGGUGCUGAAGUAACAAAUGCCCUGCUUCCAGGAAAAGCCUCUAAGCAUCAGGUAACAUCAAAUCGUACCCCAAACCGACACAGGUGGUCAGGUAGAGAAUACCAAGGCGCUUGAGAGAACUCGGGUGAAGGAACUAGGCAAAAUGGUGCCGUAACUUCGGGAGAAGGCACGCUGACACGUAGGUGAAGUGAUUUACUCACGGAGCUGAAGUCAGUCGAAGAUACCAGCUGGCUGCAACUGUUUAUUAAAAACACAGCACUGUGCAAACACGAAAGUGGACGUAUACGGUGUGACGCCUGCCCGGUGCCGGAAGGUUAAUUGAUGGGGUCAGCGCAAGCGAAGCUCCUGAUCGAAGCCCCGGUAAACGGCGGCCGUAACUAUAACGGUCCUAAGGUAGCGAAAUUCCUUGUCGGGUAAGUUCCGACCUGCACGAAUGGCGUAAUGAUGGCCAGGCUGUCUCCACCCGAGACUCAGUGAAAUUGAACUCGCUGUGAAGAUGCAGUGUACCCGCGGCAAGACGGAAAGACCCCGUGAACCUUUACUAUAGCUUGACACUGAACAUUGAGCCUUGAUGUGUAGGAUAGGUGGGAGGCUUUGAAGUGUGGACGCCAGUCUGCAUGGAGCCGACCUUGAAAUACCACCCUUUAAUGUUUGAUGUUCUAACGUGGACCCGUUACCCGGGUUGCGGACAGUGUCUGGUGGGUAGUUUGACUGGGGCGGUCUCCUCCUAAAGAGUAACGGAGGAGCACGAAGGUUGGCUAAUCCUGGUCGGACAUCAGGAGGUUAGUGCAAUGGCAUAAGCCAGCUUGACUGCGAGCGUGACGGCGCGAGCAGGUGCGAAAGCAGGUCAUAGUGAUCCGGUGGUUCUGAAUGGAAGGGCCAUCGCUCAACGGAUAAAAGGUACUCCGGGGAUAACAGGCUGAUACCGCCCAAGAGUUCAUAUCGACGGCGGUGUUUGGCACCUCGAUGUCGGCUCAUCACAUCCUGGGGCUGAAGUAGGUCCCAAGGGUAUGGCUGUUCGCCAUUUAAAGUGGUACGCGAGCUGGGUUUAGAACGUCGUGAGACAGUUCGGUCCCUAUCUGCCGUGGGCGCUGGAGAACUGAGGGGGGCUGCUCCUAGUACGAGAGGACCGGAGUGGACGCAUCACUGGUGUUCGGGUUGUCAUGCCAAUGGCACUGCCCGGUAGCUAAAUGCGGAAGAGAUAAGUGCUGAAAGCAUCUAAGCACGAAACUUGCCCCGAGAUGAGUUCUCCCUGAGACUUUAGGUCUCCUGAAGGAACGUUGAAGACGACGACGUUGAUAGGCCGGGUGUGUAAGCGCAGCGAUGCGUUGAGCUAACCGGUACUAAUGAACCGUGAGGCUUAACCUUACAACGCCG